rnacentral:lncRNA from 1 species
UGACAAGUGUCAAGAUUUUAUUUCUUUAUUAUUUUCCUUAUAAAUUAGCACAAAACCAGCCCAUUUCUCUUCAUUAUGGUCACCCUCACCAAGGAGAAGUAAGAAAAAGGAAGAAAAAACCCUAGGUGGAAAAAUUCAAGGGAAAAGUGUGAAAAUUCAAGGAAACAAGUGAAAAAGGUAAGAUUUUUUCAAUUUAAGCUUGAGAUCUCUCUUUCGUAAGCAUUUUUUCUUAUUUGCCAUGGUUGAAUCACAUGAAAUCAUGAUGAAUCUCUUGCUGGCGGAACACUUAGAGAGAGAUUUUGAUGGUUGUUUUGGUUAGAUUUUAAGAUAUUCUAGUGUUUUUAGUUGAUUGGUGAUGUGUAGCAUGAAAAUCAAGCAAGAAAAAUUCAUGUUCUUCCAUAAGGCUCAUUGCCCGAAUUCUCCAUGUGGAAUAUUGAUGAUGAUUUUGAUUUUAUUUCAAGUGAAUUGAUUAAGAAAUGAUGAAUUACGGUGAGAAAAUCAAGUAGGAAAAAUCAUAGUAUUGAUGCACCCACCAUGGCCGAAAUUCCCAAGAGAAAAUGUGAAGAUGAUUUUGCUAAAUUUUAUGCUAUUUGACUUGUGUUUGAUGGUUUCGAGAAUUGGAAGAAAAAUAGAGUUAAUUGGAGUUGAAUUGGACAUAUUGGCCAAUUAAUCGAGUGAUAGAUCGAAUUAGGCUAAUACCGUUUUAUUUAGGUACACAAUUAAAUUUGUGUAGAACACCGUCUUUAGACGAUAAUCCGAACAAUUUGCAUUCCAUUUCAGCAUUAGUAUAGAGCUUGAAUUGGCUUUAUAACAAUUUAGCACAAAUGUUGUAAAUGGCUUAUUGUGCAUUAUGUCUAGGUGGUGAGCAUUCUGGAAAAAGUAAAGAGAUAGUACCCGAGGAUCAAGAAUUGGAGUACUCUGAACUCGAUUCCCAUUAUAGUGAGUAACCUUACUAUCAUCUUAAUUAUCUAAAGUGGUUUUUAUUCGAUUUUGUGAUUUUAUGGAAAAUUAGUUAAAUGGUAAAUCUUUGUGUUUUGUAAUUAAAAUGUGAUUUAAUGAAAUGAUUUUAUAACAUUGUCUUGAAAUUGAAUGAUGGUUUGAAAAUAGAGUAAUUAGAGACUGUUUUCAUGUGUUGUAAAUUCAUAGUUUGAAUCGAAUGGCUUAUGACAAUAUUUGCAUGAAUGGCUGAAUUGAUAUUGUGUUGAAAUAUAUGAACUAUGUAUUUAGCCUUAAGAGGUUGAAUUGUGAUAUAAUUGUCAUGUCAUGCGGUUGAGAUUUUAUUGAAUUGGUGGGUUUAGCUUGCUGCAGUGGGCGGGUUUCGUGGACUAGCCUAUUAGAGGAGCACGGUAACCCUGUUAUAUUCUUACCUCGGUCGAAGAGGCGUGUAGGGUAACUCUCGAGGUACAACUUUAGAGUUCACUUCACGCCAAAUCACCAUGUGAGGAUGAACCCAGCCAAUGCCAAGGAACGGCUAUGUUUUCAAAAUAAAAACAUGAUUUAUGCGUACAUGACUUUUUAACAGCCUUAAACGGACUCGGUUGGGAUAGCCCUAAGCUAAGGUAUCUCUGACAACCGAGUGUGAGAAUGAUUUUGGCACGAGCCAAAGUUUUCAGAAAUUCAUAAGCCAUGUUGAUUACUCGAUUUAUAUGAAUUGAUUUUAUUUGGUUGAAAUGAGUUGAAAGUUGAUGAAUUACAAUAUGAUAAUCUAUUUUAAUCUGUCUCCAUUUACUCGACUUUAGAUAUUUUAGAUAUUAUUUGUUUACUCACUGGGAUUAUAUAUUCUCACCACCCUCUUUUUCACCCAUUUCAGGCUCAAGAUAGUCAGUAGACAGCUCAUUUCGUUGAGGGCUACAGUUGGACUUGCAUCCUCAAAAACUGUAAGUUUAUUGCUUUUAAUACUUUUGGUCGUUCGUGGGCCCACAUGUCACUGUAAAUUAAAUCUUAUGCUUUGGUUAUCUGUAGUACAGUAUGUAUGAAUUUAUUUAGCUUUUAAGCUACAAAAAUUAUUUACUGGUAACUCUAUAAAUAUUAUUUUAUAAGAAAAUAGAAUAUUUUAUUGAAUAUUUUUAUUAUAUUCAAAUAGUUAUAGUUUCGCUUUAAAUGAAUGUUUUAGACAUCUAAACUUAUUUUUG